rnacentral:rRNA from 1 species
GAAUUUUCCGCAAUGGGCGAAAGCCUGACGGAGCAAUACCGCGUGAGGGAAGACGGCCUAUGGGUUGUAAACCUCUUUUCUCAGGGAGGAACUCAAUGACGUGUACCUGAGGAAUAAGCAUCGGCUAACUCCGUGCCAGCAGCCGCGGUAAGACGGAGGAUGCAAGUGUUAUCCGGAAUCACUGGGCGUAAAGCGUCUGUAGGUGGUUUAAUAAGUCAACUGUUAAAUCUUGAGGCUCAACUUCAAAAUCGCAGUCGAAACUAUUAGACUAGAGUAUAGUAGGGGUAAAGGGAAUUUCCAGUGGAGCGGUGAAAUGCGUAGAGAUUGGAAAGAACACCGAUGGCGAAGGCACUUUACUGGGCUAUUACUAACACUCAGAGACGAAAGCUAGGGUAGCAAAUGGGAUUAGAUACCCCAGUAGUC